GCACAUGCUUUAUUUUCUGAUUUCCUCUCCUUCUCCUUUUGCUUCUUCUUCUUCUUCUUCUUCUUCUUCAAGAACCAAACCCGUGGGUACUGUUCAGCAAUCCGGAAGUCAGUUUUCGGAAGCUCUGAUCAGAAAACUUCCUUCAUGAGAGUUGUUCAUCUGCUUGAGAACUAAAGUCUGUGAAAUUUUGAGAAUUUUCUGAAUUUUCCUGAUGCCUCAAAACGGGUUUGCAGCUUCUGUGUUCAUCAAUGGCUGCUAGAGGGCUUGUAGGUGCUGGAAACUCGUGGAGCUUAACAAACAACCACUACUACUUCAGAAAUUUGGGUAUUUGGGCUUUUCUAGUUCUCAAUAAGGAAUUCUUCCCACCGAAUGACCUUAUGUAUCUGUCUCGCUUGACAUGUUGCUUUGAAUUUUGAGAAUUGAGCACCUCCUUUAUCCUGGCAUUGAGUGCUGAUCUGGAUAUUUCUGAAGUAUGAUUUUGAGCAAUAUUGUUGUGACAGCGUGAAGUUGAAUGGUAUUGUUGCAAGAGCAUGAAUUCUUCAAUUUGCUCGAAAGGCAUCAAUUGUUUGGAAUAUCUCAAUGAAAUGUAAUUGCUUGGCAUGCGGAUUGGUAUUAUGCCAUGUGAAUUUGCUAUGAACUUGAUAGCAUGAAGGUGAAUGUUGGUUGCUAGCACCUUGGCUUGACUGGGAAAAUUUAUGCUUCCGGCGCCUCCCUUUGUUUAUGAGUAUUUUUUUUUUCGGCGCCUGAUUUUGGCUAACGUAUUCUCUUGUCCAGAAGAAAGCAUGAGAAGUCUCAUUCGCUUGGAGUUUGGUAGCAUGAAAGUGAGUUUUGGUUGCUUGCAACUUGUCUGGGAAAAUUAUGAAGGAUUUGAACUGCUUGACCAAGGGAGACUUUGGGGUGAGACAACUUUUAGUUUCUUGAUACCCAGAAGCCUUGCAUUUUAAUGUGGGCAAGGCAUGUUGUAAAUCUUCCGGUGUUUGAGACAGAGGACGAGAUGGUUGUUGAGGUUGCCUUGAAUGUUUUUAGAGAUGUAAUGAGCUUGUUGGGAUGUUGUAAGGAUGGUUUGAGUUUUGCUUGGGUUUGUAUCACCAGAACACUCUGUGGUAGAAAUUGUGGAGGCUGUGGAGGUUAUGAAGCUCAUAAGGAUGUUUAAAAUAGGCAGGUGCUUGAAGAAUGUUUAAAAUAGGCGGGUGCUGGAAGUGGUAAUGGAAGAUUGUAGCUUUGUUUGACAUGAUAUAGCCUGGAUGUGCAGCCGGCAGCAAGUAAGUGCAGCCGGUCCAAGGAUGUGCAGCCGGCAGCAAGGAUGUACAGCCGGACCAAGGAUGUGCAGCCGGCAGCAAGUAAGUGCAGCCGACCCAAGAAUGUGCAGCCGGCAGCAAGUAAGUGCAGCCGGUCCAAGGAUGUGCAGCUGGCAGCGAUCUUAGCAAAUAUAAAUAGCCAUUUGUAUCUCCUUUCUUAUCACCUUAGCAGCCAUUUCUAUUACCCUUCUAUCACCUAUGUAUCACCUGUUUAUCAUCACUGUAUCACCUAUUUAUCACAUGUUUGUCA